GAUUGGAUCACUCGGCUCGUGUAUCGAUGAAGAACGCAGCGAAAUGCGAUCUUGCACUCCUUGGUAUUCCGAGGAGCAUGCCUGUUUGAGUGUC
rnacentral:rRNA from 1 species